ACGUUGCGCCCAGGACAACACUUGCUGCAGCCAAGAAACAGAAAGUAUAUCUCUAUUCGUUCAUCCCCUUGGUCUUAGGGUUGCCCCUAAGACGACGUACAUACCACCUCCUGACACCGCCGUACCGGAAAGCACUUUUCCGGUACGGGCAGAGCCAGCAGCAUUCCAGGUUCAGAAUUGAACCCAAAGGCAGAAAUCACCAUUCUGAGAGUUGAACGUCGCCAUCCAUGAUUUAGACAUACCAUUCCAUGGCCUGUGCAUGCGCGUCCAUGUCCUUCACUACGUUGCUGCUUGCGGCCAAGAAACAAGUGAUGCAAAACGUUGCCUCAUGUCCAUCCGUCCGGUCCACACACGUAAGAGCAAUUUUCCAUAACACGGGAUGUAAGCACCGUUCGGGAUGUCCGUCGUGUUUGCCUCAGGAAGUCGUCCUCCCGGCGGCGGAUCGGGCCCUAAGCACCGGCCGGUACCAGCUGGUACCAGCUCCUGGAGCCGCUUAAUCGAUGCUGAUCGUGAUGUGUAAUUGGUCCAGCAUAAAGCACAUUCUUCAUCAUCCGGAAGGGAUCCCUUAGCCAUAGUACAUGUAAAGGAUGCGCAGGACAAGCAGUGUAAGAGGUAAUCGGAAAAGAACGCAAAAAAGACUGUUCCGUCCAAAUAGCUAACAAGCUGUACCUUAGCGGAAUGCAGGGCGCUUCUAACAUACAUGCCACCCUUUGGAAGUCAUGUUGUAGGCUUGUCCUGUUUGGUUUAUGUUAGCAUUGCAUUAAGAAGUUCAACGUGAUACCUGCAGGUUAACUGUUUACUGAUAAUUAGUUAUUCGGCGGCGUGCGCAUAUCAUUCCCUUACUUCGCCGGCAGGUCCAUGGAAAGUCCCCGAAAAGAUUACAUAACGUUGCAAAACUCCUUUCAGUGCUUUCGGAAAGAGGCCCUAGAUCUUGAGACCCUGGUAAGCCAGAAAUCUCUGACGGCUAGCGCUGUAAGCGCACCUUUUCCAUCUCCUGUAUUUUCAAAGCAUACACACGAGCGAUACUUAAGAAUACGAAAAUUUUAAACAGUUUAACAGUUCAUGUGGAAGCGUUUGCGGUGCAACUGGCGCGAACAGGACACCAGAGGUCACAGGAAUUACAGCUCUUAUGACUACUAGCAGUAUGUGUGCGUGGUUGUUACAGCAGUAGAUCUUAGGGACGAGGGGUACCUGACGGCAAUGCAUGGGCUCCAUCGAUGCAUGUGCCUCGGCAUGAAGGGUGAAUACAAUACGUUUCAUAUGCACAGACCUCAUAGUUUGCAGCAUUUUAAGGGAGGUCAAAUGUGUUUCGCACGCAGCAGCUAGUGCAGCUUUGGCCCGAACACUGUAUAUACGAGCGGCCUACAUAAAGGCAUACCUGUAUACAACGAUUAUAGGCUCUCACAGCUUUCUUGCGUACACAUGGUAACCUAUAGCCUACAGGCCUAUAGACCAUGCUGUAUACAACAGAUCGCCUAUAGGUGUGUUGUAUACGAUCAUAUACGCGAAAUCACCUAUACUCCACAUAUUCCGCGGUCCUACCUAUUAGGCGAUGGCCCGGCCUAUAGGUGACUUCCAAUUUUAGAGACGGAGACAGCCUUAGUCUUAGCUAUAGGCUAAGGAACCAUUUUCGGAAAAGUCGAGUCCAAGACUCAGACAAUUGAAUAGUAACGG
rnacentral:lncRNA from 1 species